UACGUAGGGCGCAAGCGUUGUCCGGAAUUAUUGGGCGUAAAGCGCGCGUAGGCGGCUUUUCAAGUCGCUUGUGAAAUCCCCGGGCUUAACCUGGGAACUGCAGUCGAGACUGUCUAGCUAGAGUAUGGGAGAGGGAAGUGGAAUUUCAGGUGUAGCGGUGAAAUGCGUAGAUAUCUGAAGGAACAUCAGUGGCGAAAGCGACUUCCUGGACCAAUACUGACGCUCAUGUGCGAAAGCGUGGGGAGCAAACAGG
rnacentral:rRNA from 1 species